UCCAGGGUAGCCUAGUGGACAUGGCACCUGCCCGGUAAGCAGAAGGUCGUGGGUUCGAUUCCCGCCCCUGGAC
rnacentral:tRNA from 1 species